GGGGGCGUCGGGGCACCCUCAGAUGCGCACAGCGAGCAGCGACCCCACGGGACGUGGCAGAAAGCGGCUCUCCCCGACCCCCCGCCUGACGUGAGUUGGGCACCAGGAGACAUGCUGAUGCCAGGCAUAGCCUCUGCCCACAGAUAGAUGGUGUGAGCGGGAGGGUAGGAAUGCUAUUCAAGGAAAAGUUCAACCUGAAAGUUGACAUUUGAGGAGCUGGACAGGAAGGACCAUCACGCAGUCUCAGCCACCAGGCACCUCGUUAUCACAACCUCAUUCUUUCCUUGGGGAAACAAGCUGCCUUAAAAGGGGGCCAACUGCAGCCAAACUUGGGAAGUAGAGGAGGAGACCAGAAGCUGGCAGAGC